UGGGGAAUAUUGCACAAUGGGGGAAACCCUGAUGCAGCGACGCCGCGUGAGCGAAGAAGUAUUUCGGUAUGUAAAGCUCUAUCAGCAGGGAAGAUGAUGACGGUACCUGACUAAGAAGCCCCGGCUAACUACGUGCCAGCAGCCGCGGUAAUACGUAGGGGGCAAGCGUUAUCCGGAUUUACUGGGUGUAAAGGGAGCGUAGACGGCGAAGCAAGUCUGGUGUGAAAACCCGGGGCUCAACCCCGGGCCUGCAUUGGAAACUGUUUUGCUCGAGUGCCGGAGAGGUAAGCGGAAUUCCUAGUGUAGCGGUGAAAUGCGUAGAUAUUAGGAGGAACACCAGUGGCGAAGGCGGCUUACUGGACGGUAACUGACGUUGAGGCUCGAAAGCGUGGGGAGCAAACA
rnacentral:rRNA from 1 species